AGUGAACGCUGGCGGUAGGCCUAACACAUGCAAGUCAAACGGCAGCACAGAGGAGCUUGCUCCUUGGGUGGCGAGUGGCGGACGGGUGAGGAAUACAUCGGAAUCUACUCUGUCGUGGGUGAUCACGUAGGGAAACUUACGCUAAUACCGCAUACGACCUACGGGUGAAAGCAGGGGAUCUUCGGACCUUGCGCGAUUGAAUGAGCCGAUGUCGGAUUAGCUAGUUGGCGGGGUAAAGGCCCACCAAGGCGACGAUCCGUAGCUGGUCUGGGAGGAUGAUCAGCCACACUGGAACUGAGACACGGUCCAGACUCCUACGGGAGGCAGCAGUGGGGAAUAUUGGACAAUGGGCGCAAGCCUGAUCCAGCCAUACCGCGUGGGUGAAGAAGGCCUUCGGGUUGUAAAGCCCUUUUGUUGGGAAAGAAAUCCAGCUGGCUAAUACCCGGUUGGGAUGACGGUACCCAAAGAAUAAGCACCGGCUAACUUCGUGCCAGCCGCCGCCGUAA
rnacentral:rRNA from 1 species